CUCACACCUCCUUCGUCCCCAUCUCCCACGGCCGGCGCACCUACCUCCCACGACCGGCGCUGCCCCAACCCCCUCCCACGGCCGAUGCGCCCCCAAGCCCCUCCAACCGACGACCUCCUACUGGUUGCCGCGGCCGGGUCCAACCUCCUGACGACCGGAUCCGCCAUGGCCCUGCCUCGCCGCCCUUCAACAGCCCCGUGGCGGAGAGGGGCGACGACCGGAUCUCGCCUUGCCCCACAUCUCCCCAGCAUUCCCCACCCGUUGUGGCCCAGGCGGUUGUAUCCCUUGUCGUUGUCGGGCUCCUCCUCCGUGGCAGCCACAGAAGGAGCAUGCACAACCUCUGCUCGCCUCUUCCAAUCCUCCUCCUCGGUUGUAGAGGGCGUUAGGAGGACGAGCCUUCACGUAAGCUCGCCGGAGACCUGGGGAAAAAUAGUGUUGCAGUUGUGUGAAAAAAAUUGGUUGAGGCAGCUGCAUGCAUUUCUAAAAUUUAUUUAGUGUAGUUCGGUAAUGUUUUGUUUUGCUGUGAUGACGUGUGGGUUGUCCCUCCUUUGUAUCUUUUGUGUAGUUCGACUCGUGAUCUUGUGAAGAUCCAAUGUACUGAUUUUUUUGCUCUAUAUUGGAGAGAAUCAAAUAGAGUGUGGAUCACUA